rnacentral:lncRNA from 1 species
CUCCCUAAUCCUGACAUAAACUGGAAAGCUGUGACUGUUUCAGAAUUUAUGUUGUUUUCUUUUUUUUUUCUUAUUACAGAGAUAUGCUGUGCAACCUCAGCUUGCCUCUUCUAUGAGUUCUGCUCUUGUGCAGCUGAAAGACAUCACUGAGCAAAACUGACCCCUUUGCAAUGGUAUUUUGAGCCUUGGAUGCAAAGAUGGAUGCACCAUUACAGCGUGGUUUGCAACCUGAUGUUUUUCAGAAUUUAAACAAAGAAGUUUGUCUGCGAGGCUUUUACUGAAGCUCAGCCAAAGGUACGACUCUUUUAACGAGGAAAUACAGCUUUUACAGACUUCGCUUUCUCUUCUUCAGUAUAAAUUUUGAUGUAUAAAUAACAUUCCUACGGAGACCUGGUCAUCUGCUGGUAUUGAUCACCUGCCUCCCUGUCCUCCAAGGUCUGAUUCAGUCAUAGCCUCAAAUAUCAGCAGCUUUACUGGAAAAUGGAGUGACCAGUGGAUUAAACAAAUGAGAGGGCUGGAAAUGGGUCUGCUUCAAGUCUUAGCAUGUACUUCGGGGAGCGAUAUCUGGAGAUGGUGGAGGUAAGAGAACUACUGCGGAACGGGCAGGAAAGGUUAUAGCUUGGAUGUCUGUAGCUCAGGUUGUACUGGA